rnacentral:rRNA from 1 species
AUCUAAAUUAACUUUCAAAACAUUCAUUUGACUAUCUUAGUAUAGGUGAUAGAACAGAUAUAUUUUGGCACAAUAGAGAGAGUACCGUGAGGGAACGUUGAAAGAUCUCAUCCUGAAAGCAAUAAAAAGCAAAGAUUAAACCUUCUACCUUUUGCAUAAUGAUUUAGCCAGUCUACACGGACAAAAAGAAUUAAAGCCCGUCCCCCCGAAAUUGAGUGAGCUAUUGUAGAACAGUUGUUAGAACGAACUCGUCUAUGUAGCAAAAUAGUGAGAUGAUUUUACAAUAGGGGUGAAAAGCCUAUCGAACUCAAUGAUAGCUGGUUGUCCAAAAAACGAAUUUUAGUUCAACUUUAAAUUUAACUCAAGUACUUACAAACUAAACUUAAAUUUAAAUGCUAAUCAAAAGGGGGACAACUCUUUUGACAUGUGAACAAACUUAUUUAGUGGGUAAUGAUUUAUACACAAAACAUUGUAGGCCUAAAAGCAGCCACCAAUUAAGAAAGCGUUAAAGCUCAAACUAGUUUGUCAUUUAAUACCAACAAUUUAUCAAAACCCCUAACCUAAUAUUGGACAAUUCUAUUAAUAUUUAGAAGAUAUAAUGCUAAUAUGAGUAACAUGAACAGGUUCUCCUUGCAUAAGCAUAUAUAAGACCGGAACAACCACUUACACUUAAUCAACUAGAUAACUAUAACCACAUACAAGUAUUUUAUUACCAAUAUUGUUAAUCCAACUCAGGCAUGCAUCAAGGAAAGAUUAAAAGGAAUAAAAGGAACUCGGCAAAUAAAACCCCGCCUGUUUACCAAAAACAUCACCUCUAGCAUUUACCAGUAUUAGAGGCACUGCCUGCCCGGUGAGUUAUGACUUUAACGGCCGCGGUAUCCUGACCGUGCAAAGGUAGCAUAAUCACUUGUCUCUUAAUUGGAGACUAGUAUGAAUGGCAUAACGAGGGUUU